CAAUGUUAUAUUUGAAAUUUGCAGAUUUUUAAUACUGGCUAAUCUGGUGAUCAACAAUAGCAGUGCAUCCCAAUGGGUGCUCUCUCUUUUAAGAAUUUCUAUAUACCACUAAUACCAUUAAUCUGCCUCCUAAUUUCAGACUAUUAUGACAGAAUAGAUUUAUUAUCAAUCCAGAAGAUUAAUAGAAACAGACAGAUCCUCUUCUCAUGCAAAGACAUAGAUUCAAGGAGACAUUAUAUUCUUCUAAAUUUGAUGAUAAAAUAUUUUUAUAAUGGUUGCAAUUACAAAAGAAGCAUGGGAAACUUUAGAAGAAAUAUGGCCUGUUACACAUCUUACAGUUAAUGAGAG
rnacentral:lncRNA from 1 species